rnacentral:rRNA from 1 species
AGCAGCCGCGGUAAUUCCAGCUCCAAUAGCGUAUAUUAAAGUUGUUGCAGUUAAAAGCUCGUAGUUGAAUUUCGGGGUUAGUAGGUUGGUCAUGCCUCUGGUAUGUACUGGUCUCACUGAUUCCUCCUUCCUGAUGAACCUUAAUGCCAUUAAUUUUGGUGCUUUGGGGGAAUUUGGACUGUUACUUUGAAAAAAGUUAGAGUGUUUAAAGCAAGCUAACGCUUGAAUACAUUAGCAUGGAAUAAUGAAAUAGGACGUUCGAUCCUAUUUUGUUGGUUUCUAGGAUUGACGUAAUGAUUAAUAGGGAUAGUUGGGGGCAUUAGUAUUCAAUUGUCAGAGGUGAAAUUCUUGGAUUUAUUGAAGACUAACUACUGCGAAAGCAUUUUGCCAAGGAUGUUUUCAUUAAUCAAGAACGAAAGUUAGGGGAUCGAAGACGAUCAGAUACCGUCGUAGUCUUAACCAUAAACUAUGCCGACUAGGGAUCGGAUGAUGUUAAUUUUUUCAAUGACUCAUUCGGCGC